rnacentral:rRNA from 1 species
GACAGAGGGUGCAAACGUUGCUCGGAAUCACUGGGCGUAAAGGGCGUGUAGGCGGGAAUGUAAGUCGGGCGUGAAAUCCCUAGGCUCAACCUAGGAACUGCACUCGAAACUGCGUUUCUUGAGUACUGGAGAGGAAAGCGGAAUACCUGGUGUAGAGGUGAAAUUCGUAGAUAUCAGGUGGAACACCAGCGGCGAAGGCGGCUUUCUGGACAGUAACUGAC